AAGCCACUCCUCCGGCGGACAUCUCUCGUCUAUGCCCGGUAGCAAAGAAGAGUUGAGAAAAUGGCGAUAAAAAUGGAUAAGACGACGAUCAUCGUGUGCGCAGUGGUCGGGUCUCUAGGAGUGUUGAGUGCCAUCUUGGGGUUCUCGGCUGAGGGGACAAAGCUCACUCCAUAUACGAUAUUUGUUUAUGGCGACGACUGCAUCUACCCGCAGAACCCGGCGAUCGGGCUGGGUAUCUGCGCCGUCAUCUUCCUUCUGGCGGCGCAGGUCACCAUCUCGGCGGUUGGCGGCUGCUGCGGCUGCUGCAAGUCCCGCUCCAUACCUUCGGGGACCAAGCGGAUCGUCGGCAUCGUUUGUGCCGUCGUCUCAUGGAUAGCGGCGGUGAUCGCGUGGGCGCUGCUGAUACAAGGAGCGUCGUGGAACGCCAACGUGGUGCGGGUGGCCGCCGCACCGUACUGCCCCUACCUCAAGGACGGUAUCUUCGCCGGCGCGGGCGUGCUCUCCCUCGCCGCCACGGCGCUCGGCAUCACCUCCUUCAUCAUGCUGCGGAGGCCGCAGCCGGUCGAGGCGGCGGCGACACCGGCAGCGUCUGUAGGCGGCACACCGAGCAGGCCAGGCCAGCAGUCGCCGUUGAACGAGGUUGUAAUGGGCCGCCCGCUGUUACCUCCACCGAGCAAGGUACAACACCCUUCCAAACCUGAGCGUACGUGCAACAGGUCCCUCCUACUGCUUCUCAUCCACAAGGGAACGGAGUCAACGGACAGCAAGCACCACAGGACCUACAGGCUCCUCCUCUUCCUCCUCCUGCUGCUCAAGGCAAUGGACCCCAGGCAGCGAACCAGCAGUUCCUUCCUCAAGGGCUCCCCGCGGCCGCGGUACUGGCGGCAGCGGCAUCAUGUCCACCCCAAGAACCAGGCGAGCAGCCGCCGCGGCCGCUCGGGGUUGCGAUGGGCGGCCAAACGCAGGUCCAGCUGCCUCAAGUACCGGUGCCGAAUGACUCACUACAGUACGCUAUGCCUGUUCCAGUGCCUCAGCUAUGCGCGGAGAUUCCGGUCACUCCUCUCGCAGCUCCUGGCCCUUCACAAGACAACGGACUAUCGACAGCUAUUCGCAACGAAUUAGCUAGAGCAACAAUCAGAUUCGCUGGGAAGGCGGUGGAGCAUGCGGUCUUUUCUAACAAUGCUGGGGAUAUCCUAUCCAUGGUGACUGAUCCUACCGGGGUUGACGUUGGAGCUACAGACAAUGGGGUUUCUGCUGCCUAAUCUAAUCUUAUGCACACUUCUUCAUGAUUUUGCCCCAGUUUGUUGUUUGUUCUUCAGCGGCUUUAAGAUUGAAGCGUGUAUCCAGCUUCCACUACUCGUUCGAAUCAUCAUGAUCUUGAACGAUACUUUCUAUUGGCCGUAAUUAGCCAAACGUUCAGCAGAA